CUUGGUCAGGUUGAAGUUCAGGUAACACUGAAUGGAGGACCGAACCGACUUACGUUGAAAAGUGAGCGGAUGAACUGUGGGUAGCGGAGAAAUUCCAAUCGAACUUGGAGAUAGCUGGUUCUCUCCGAAAUAGCUUUAGGGCUAGCCUCAUGUUGUAAGAAUCUUGGAGGUAGAGCACUGUUUGGACUAGGGGCCCCCAUCGGGUUACCGAAUUCAGACAAACUCCGAAUGCCAAAGAUUUAUCCAUGGGAGUCAGACUGCG
rnacentral:rRNA from 14 species